AUUGAACGCUGGCGGCAGGCCUAACACAUGCAAGUCGAACGGUAACAGGAAACAGCUUGCUGUUUCGCUGACGAGUGGCGGACGGGUGAGUAAUGUCCGGGAAACUGCCUGAUGGAGGGGGAUAACUACUGGAAACGGUAGCUAAUACCGCAUAACGUCGCAAGACCAAAGAGGGGGACCUUCGGGCCUCUUGCCAUCGGAUGUGCCCAGAUGAGAUUAGCUAGUAGGUGGGGUAACGGCUCACCUAGGCGACGAUCCCUAGCUGGUCUGAGAGGAUGACCAGCCACACUGGAACUGAGACACGGUCCAGACUCCUACGGGAGGCAGCAGUGGGGAAUAUUGCACAAUGGGCGCAAGCCUGAUUCAGCCAUGCCGCGUGUAUGAAGAAGGCCUUCGGGUUGUAAAGUACUUUCAGCGGGGAGGAAGGGAGUAAAGUUAAUACCUUUGCUCAUUGACGUUACCCGCAGAAGAAGCACCGGCUAACUCCGUGCCAGCCGCCGCGGUAA
rnacentral:rRNA from 1 species